rnacentral:rRNA from 1 species
GAGUUUGAUCCUGGCUCAGAAUGAACGCUGGCGGCAGGCCUAACACAUGCAAGUCGAACGGGUGUCUUCGGGCACUAGUGGCGGACGGGUGAGUAACGCGUGGGAACAUACCCAAAGGUACGGAAUAGCCUCGGGAAACUGAGAGUAAUACCGUAUGUGCCCUUCGGGGGAAAGAUUUAUCGCCUUUGGAUUGGCCCGCGUUGGAUUAGGUAGUUGGUGGGGUAAUGGCCUACCAAGCCGACGAUCCAUAGCUGGUUUGAGAGGAUGAUCAGCCACACUGGGACUGAGACACGGCCCAGACUCCUACGGGAGGCAGCAGUGGGGAAUCUUAGACAAUGGGGGAAACCCUGAUCUAGCCAUGCCGCGUGAUCGAUGAAGGCCUUAGGGUUGUAAAGAUCUUUCAGAUGGGAAGAUAAUGACGGUACCAUCAGAAGAAGCCCCGGCUAACUCCGUGCCAGCAGCCGCGGUAAUACGGAGGGGGCUAGCGUUAUUCGGAAUUACUGGGCGUAAAGCGCACGUAGGCGGAUUAGAAAGUCAGAGGUGAAAUCCCAGGGCUCAACCUUGGAACUGCCUUUGAAACUCCUAGUCUUGAGGUCGACAGAGGUGAGUGGAAUUCCGAGUGU